rnacentral:rRNA from 1 species
UAAUUGAACGCUGGCGGCAGGACUAACACAUGCAUGUCGAGCGGUAACACGGGUAGCUUGCUACCCGCUGACGAGCGGCGGACGGGUGAGUAACGCAUAGGAAUUUACCCGAUAGUGGGGGAUAACCUGGGGAAACCCAGGCUAAUACCGCAUACGUCCUACGGGAGAAAGGGGGCUCCGGCUCCCGCUAUCGGAUGAGCCUAUGCCGGAUUAGCUGGUUGGUGAGGUAAUGGCUCACCAAGGCGACGAUCCGUAGCUGGUCUGAGAGGAUGAUCAGCCACAUCGGGACUGAGACACGGCCCGAACUCCUACGGGAGGCAGCAGUGGGGAAUAUUGGACAAUGGGCGCAAGCCUGAUCCAACCAUGCCGCGUGUGUGAAGAAGGCCCUCGGGUUGUAAAGCACUUUCAGCGAAGAAGAACGCCUGGCGGUUAAUACCCGCCAAGAAAGACAUCACUCGCAGAAGAAGCACCGGCUAACUCCGUGCCAGCAACCGCGGUAAUACCGAAGGUGCAAGCGUUAAUCCGAAUUACUGGGCCUUAAACGCGCGUUAGUUGCUUGAUAAGCCGGUUGUGAAAGCCCCGGGCUCAAACUGGGAACGGCAUCCCGGAACUGUCAAGGC